UACAGAGGGGGCGAGCGUUAUUCGGAAUUACUGGGCGUAAAGCGUGCGCAGGCGGUGAUGUAAGACAGAUGUGAAAUCCCCGGGCUCAACCUGGGAACUGCAUUUGUGACUGCAUCGCUGGAGUGCGGCAGAGGGGGAUGGAAUUCCGCGUGUAGCAGUGAAAUGCGUAGAUAUGCGGAGGAACACCGAUGGCGAAGGCAAUCCCCUGGGCCUGCACUGACGCUCAUGCACGAAAGCGUGGGGAGCAAACAGG
rnacentral:rRNA from 1 species